UACAGAGGGGGCAAGCGUUGUUCGGAAUUACUGGGCGUAAAGGGCGCGUAGGCGGCCUUCUAAGUCGAACGUGAAAUCCCCGGGCUCAACCCGGGAACUGCGUCCGAUACUGGAAGGCUUGAAUCCGGGAGAGGGAUGCGGAAUUCCAGGUGUAGCGGUGAAAUGGCGUAGAUAUCUGGAGGAACACCGGUGGCGAAGGCGGCGAUCCUGGACCGGU
rnacentral:rRNA from 1 species